rnacentral:rRNA from 1 species
UACGUAGGCAGCAAGCGUUGUUCGGAGUUACUGGGCGUAAAGGGUGCGUAGGCGGUUGUUUAAGUUUGGUGUGAAAUCUCCCGGCUCAACCGGGAGGGUGCGCCGAAUACUGAACGGCUAGAGUGCGGGAGAGGAGAGUGGAAUUCCUGGUGUAGCGGUGAAAUGCGUAGAUAUCAGGAGGAACACCGGUGGCGAAGGCGGCGACCUGGGUAGAUACUGACGCUGAGGUGCGAAAGCGUGGGGAGCAAACAGG